rnacentral:rRNA from 1 species
CGCGGUAAUACAUAGGUUGCAAGCGUUAUCCGGAUUUACUGGGCGUAAAGCAAGCGCAGGUGGGCUAACAAGUCUGGUGUUAAAUGCGAUAGCUUAACUAUCGUAUGCAUGGGAAACUGUUAGUCUAGAGUACAGUAAGGUGUUUUGGAACUCCAUGUGGAGCGGUGGAAUGCGUAGAUAUAUGGAAGAACACCAGUGGCGAAAGCGAAAACAUUGGCUGUAACUGACACUUAGGCUUGAAAGCGUGGGGAGCGAAUAGGAUUAGAUACCCUAGUAGUCCACGCCGUAAACGAUGGAUAUUAAAUAUUGGUCCUAGUUGGAUCAGUAUUGUAGCUAACGCGAUAAAUAUCCCGCCUGGGUAGUACACUCGUAAGAGUGAAACUCAAACGGAAUUGACGGGGACCCGCACAAGUGGUGGAUUAUGUUGUUUAAUUCGACGGUACACGUGGAACCUUACCUAGUCUUGACAUCCCUGGCAAAGCUAUAGAAAUAUAGUGGAGGUUAACCGGGUGACAGGUGGUGCAUGGCUGUCGUCAGCUCGUGUCGUGAGAUGUUGGGUUAAGUCCCGCAACGAGCGCAACCCUUUUUGAUAGUUAUCUCAUCUAUCGAUACUGCCGAUGUAAAUCGGAGGAAGGUGGGGAUGACGUCAAGUCAUCAUGUCCUUUAUGACUAGGGCUACAAACGUAAUACAAUGGAUGGUACAAACAGCAGCGAACCCGU